rnacentral:rRNA from 1 species
AGUGAACGCUGGCGGCAGGCCUAACACAUGCAAGUCGAGCGGAUGAACGGAGCUUGCUCCUUGUUUCGGCGGCGGACGGGUGGGUGAGUCCUAGGAAUCUGCCUGUCUGUGUUGUAUAACGUCCUGACGCAGGCACACAUACCCCAUACCUCCUUACGGACAACGUGUGGAAUCAUCGGACCUCACGACCUCGGGUGAUCCUAGGCCGGAUUAGCUAGUUGGUGGGGUAAAGGCCUACCAAGGCGACGAUCCGUAACUGGUCUGAGAGGAUGAUCAGUCACACUGGAACUGAGACACGGUCCAGACUCCUACGGGAGGCAGCAGUGGGGAAUAUUGGACAAUGGGCGAAAGCCUGAUCCAGCCAUGCCGCGUGUGUGAAGAAGGCCUUCGGAUUGUAAAGCCCUUUAAGUUGGGAAGAAGAGCAGCAAGUUAAUACCUUGCUGUUUUGACGGUACCAAAAGAAUAAGCACCGGCUAACUUCGUG